UGGGCAAGAGAGCGAGACCCUAUCUCAGAAAAUAAUAAUAAAUGUAUGCAUGUACAUGUGUAUUGGGGCAUUGUGCUAGAAAUUAAAUAAAGCUUGACUUCACGAAGAGAACCAUUCUAAGUUUACCUCAUUUUCUUUCUUUUCAUACUUUCUCUUUCUUCAUAACAUUUACAAAAUAAUUGCCAGCAAUUUGGUAAGUUCAUUAACUGAUUCUCUCUUAAGUCCAGGCUGCACAUCGCCCUGCUGAUUCAUGUGGAUUCAAUUUGUCCAACAGUUCUAUCAAUGAAGUCCUCAUUACCCUCUCCUCGUGUGUGCAGGGGAGGAAGGUUGUAAAUGCAGCCUGAGUGCGCCUUAUCUAACUUUUGUUCUUCUCAUGGAUCUAUAGAUUUCCUUUACGGUGCUUUUCUUGCCCAUCGUGUGGGAUCUGCCAAUAGGAUCGUUGCCUCAGCUGCAUUUAUAUUCCUGAGAAGUUUACUCCGUUUAUUUCCCCUGGUUCCGGGUUCUCGGAGUUCAUUUGUUGAGGUCAAGGACACCAUGUUCUCAGGAAAGAAAAUUUUAAAGAAUGUGGAAAGAAAGAAAGAAAAAAAAAAAGCAACAGCUGCACAUCACUGAUCGGGUAGAAAAAGAAUAUAAGGAUCUCAACAUACAUCCUGACAGUAACACAUGAAGAGUCCUGCCCGCCCCUCCCACCCCAUCUGCCUCUUUGUGACUGGAUUGGAAACGAGCUCCAUGUGUGCUGGGCAGGCAGGUUCCUGGCACCGGCAGCUGGUCACUUCUCUUUUCUGCGAUCUGCCCCUCCCGUGCUACCAGGUUCUAAGAGGGACUUAGGAACACAUUGCUAGUGCUGGCAUUGGCUUGUGUGAUGUUUUGGGUAGAGGACACGUGUGAUUGAAGGCCGGAGUCGUGGAGAGAAUCAUGGACUAGAAAUCAAAUCUGCUGGGGUCUGACCUUGAGGAAGUUGCUUCCCUCAAGGUCCUUAUUAGUGAUCUGAGGGUCAGUUCAUGGCUGCUAAGGACUUUCCCAUUCUGAAGCCGCUGUUUCUAAGUAAAAGCAGCGUCGCAGACUUGAGUUAGUGUGGUGUGAGAAUGCUGUUCAAGUCCAUUCCUUAGGUAUUUCUUGACCUCCUACUGUGUGACAGGCACUGGUGGAGGCUUAGCAAGGAGCUCUUUUGGCCCGUGACCCAGUCGCUAGGUGGUUUCUGUUGCCCUCCUCUUUUCUUCGGUAGGGUUCUGUGGGCUUGGGUCUCAUCAAAAACCGCCGCCCCCUCUGCAGUUGUUCUGAAUCUUGGCUGCAACUCCUGGAAGCUCAGGCUCUGGACCCACUUUCAGGCUUAGCAGCACUUUCCCCAGGUUCUGGCUCUCCAAGGUGAAAGCGCAGCCUCAGGGGAGGGCGCUGGCCCCGGUGCUCAAGGCUCCUCACAUCCUGGGCCUUCCAAGUCUGGCUCUGAGAGACCGCCUGCAGGAACGCAGGUGCAUUAGUAUGCAGGUGUGCUGAUACCCAGCACAAAGCAAUUAGCCUGCUGCUCUGCAAUUUCUGCCUUUCCCCAGCAAGUGUGGCUCAAGUGUUGGUUCCUUUGUCUGCAUGGCCAGCACCGUCCUCUCUCCUGCAGGGAGGCCUGGGGGCUCCGGGAGAUGCCUCUUCUAACUCUAGGAGUGGUCCGGAGCAUCUAGACCAGAGUUGUCCGAUAGAACUUUCUAGGAUGAUGGGAAUGUAAUCUGGUUGUUCUGUGCUAUCCCGCACGGUAGCCACCAGCCACAUGUGCACUUGCAGUGUGGCUAGCAGCUAAUGUAUUAGUUCAGAUUUGUAUGACUAUUUUCCAACCUUUUGCAAGGCACAGCAAGUGCCAAAAUUAAAGAUGAGGCAAAUGGUCAGCAGAUGAGGUGGCAGGAGCUCCAGCUGUCCCAGGGCUGAGGGGCUCAGUGUCUUCACACACCUGUGCCCAGCCCAGCAGGCUGAGUGGAAGUCCCUGUUCUAGACCUGAGCUGGGGCUGGUGGUGUGACCUGUCUCCACUGAGUUCUUGGCCCGGAGACCUGGGGUGGGUGGAGGGCGUGGAGAAGUGGGCGGUGUCCUGCUUGGUGUCCAGGGUGGUCCGGGGAGCCCGGGAGGCUGACUCAGUCUCAUCUCCUCCUGAGGGACUGGGCUCGGAGCUGAAUUCCUGAUGCCACACAAUUAUUUUCCAGUCUGACUCUCGUGUCCUUUAAAGUUGUGGCACACUGCACUUGGUUUUAAGAGCUAAAUGUAAGGCGAACGCGGAGCACUUUAAAUGUGAUAGCUCCAAGUUCACAUUGUUUGAGGAGAUAAGGAGAAAGGAGCAGGUGCUUUGAAUUCACUUAUCAGCAUUUUCGCAGGCUCCUGUCCCUCCGCACCCCCCACCGAGGUGCUGUGAUGUUCCACCAGGAUCUUGGAAUUGGAGGCUUCCCCAGGCUGCGGGGCCACCAUUUCAUCAGCUCACCUUGCUGGUAAGGCCAGGGCUUUGUUCCUGGGAGUGCUUGGGCCCCAGGUGUGUGUGUCUGGAAGGCUCCUGCCGGGCAGGGCAGGGAGAGCGGCCUGGCCUGGGAAGUCAGCCCCUGUGACGGGGCUCCUCGAGCCUCUGGAGCCCUGGGGAGAGUUUGCAUUUUAAGGUCACAUCUCCAUCCUCCAGGAGAAGGAUGAGAGGGGCCGGCUUUAAGUCCUAGUUCUCGGGUAUAUAAUUAAACAGAGAUUUUCCUUCCUGAAGGAACAAAAAGAGGCCAAGGACAGCCUAAUUGCAACCUCAAGAUUGCUUCUCCAAGAGUGGCCUGAGCAAGUGGGCUGAGGUAGAUUUGCAGCUCUGGCUGGUGUGGUGGCCUGAGCCAGCAGGGCCCAGGUUCGGCUGCUGACGGUGGUCCACAGGAGGGGAGGGUCUGUUGGGCAGGGGAGCCUCUGCCUUGCUUCCUUUCAGGGUGAGCCUUUGGUUUUCCUGUCCCAAAUGGGGGGGCCACGUGGGAGCCAGCAGCACACACUGGCCACCACUGACCGCUCCUGCUGUCCUGGCACUCCGCCCGCUCCCAAAGCAGCAGCCCAUAGUGACAGGUCGCGAGUGCCAUCAGAAGGGUGCACCGCUUUAUUUACGCGGCUGUCAGCCAGCCUGGCUCUUCCAAAGUCGCGCAUUACCAGACGAGUGAAGGUAAAACAGUGAUGCUUUAUUAAUUGCGGGUAUGGCUGCUAAUUAGAACCCAGGCCUGGGUUUUUAUACCUGUUUACAUACACUUGCUCCAGAGCGGAAGGACUUUCUCAUCUCUCCUUGCCUCUCCCCCACCCCCAGAAGAGAAUUUCAACUUUAAGACAAACAACUUCAUUUACAAGUGUGUCUCUAAUUAGCUGCAGAAUUAGGGAAGCUGAGCUUUCCCCCAUAGAUCCGCUCAAGCCUCCAGGGAGACUGGUGGAAUAGAGAGAAUCGCAUUUCCAAUUAUUUUGUUGAAUUGCUAAUUUAGUUAUUGUGCCUGGUGUAAUUGUGAUGGGUAUUGGGUGUGCAAUUCAAUUUGUUUUAAAUAUUUGUGGGAAGGCUGAUCAGUAAUGGAGCUGACCUAUUUUGUGGCCCAAAUUGAGAAAAAAAAGACUAAAACACAACAGCCACAAAGAUAGAGUUUGUUUCCAUUUUUAUUUUGAUCUCUCUCAUCCCUCUUAAGACCAUUGAUGCAACAAAAGGAUUAAAUUAAAAGAUGACAGCACUUUGAUCUUCUCCCUUUGAAAGCUUAACUGUCCUUGGUAGUUUAAUAUGCAGAUAUUUCAGGGUAGAGUUUAGAUGCAUUGCUGGAGUUGAGUAGUUUCUGCCUCCCAAAAUUGCAUUUCUGCAUGUGCCUAAAAGUGAUUUGGGGUACUCAACUUUCUAAUAGUGUGUAAAGUAGUGGAGGUGUAUCUGUAACAAAUAAAGCAAAGCCGUGAGAGCCACAAGUUCGCCACUCCUACUGGGCAGAAGUCCAUUGCAGAGUCCCGGAACCUUCCCUCCAGGCAGCACCAUGUGCAGAGGUUGGUGGCCAGGAACCCCACCCCUGGCAUUUGCAUAAAGCUCGCCCCUCGGGAGCCCUGCUCCUGGUUGGUUUGAGCCUGCGCAGGUGAGAGGAGGGCUAGGUGGUAAGUUCCCUCGUGGCUGGCGGUGACUCUGGAAUUCCUGGAGGGCCAAGCUCCAGCGUCUCUCUUCAGCCAGAGUCUGGACCGGGAGGGGCCUCCGUUGAGCAUGCGUUUCACUUGGAAAUCCAGAACAAGAGCGAGUUGGUCGCCGUGUGAACAGUAAGAACGCACCAUGGCAUCAGGCUGUGGGAACAUGAGAGCAUGCCAAACCAAAGAGCGUCUGAGUACCCACUGUGCUCCGGAGUCAGCCCCCUUUCCACCAAGCUUUCAGCCUCCCGAAGAUAGACACAAGAAUUGGAAAAACACAACUCAGAUACUGUGAUCACCUCUGCCAGAAAAGCAGCUUAACCCGAGGGGAAGGAUCCAGGAGAGGACCUCAGGUCACAGCACUCAAGAGGCCAGGCUAGCAAGGCCAUCCCGCUCCACAGCCACUCUCCCUGCUCCUGGCCUUGUGAGGCAGUAGAAGAAUAUCAGAGAGAGACAAAAAGGCCUGGGAGGGCUGCGGCUCCAUUUCCAGAGAAGAAAUUUAAUUUCCUUAAGGCAACCAAAUGGUAGGAAGUAAUUCUUGAAAUGACUCUACCAAGCCCUGGUUCUGCGAA